UGACAAAAUGUGUUUUAUAUUCGAUUGUAAAUAGUCAAAUUAUGUUUUAAUUUAAAAAAUAGUGAUAAUGUGUGUAUGUGCGUAGGUUGUGUUAUAAGUUAUAAGUUAUAAUAAAAUAUAACAGUGAGAAGUGUUGUGCCGUGUCUCAUGUAUAAUUAUAUUUGUCUGAAGCUGAAAUUUUCGAGUAUAUUUUCAACAAGAUUUGCAUGUCUUCAAUAACAUUUUUACACUAAGAUUUUCCAAUUUGAUCAGGAGUUUAACAGCGUUGAGAAAUCUGCCGUAUAUAUUAUGUGAAAUAUAUUACAGACAUCAAACAUAACAUAACCUAAUUUCUGGCAAGGAUUUUACGAGGUUAUACUACCAGGAAAUAAUGAUAUAGUAGAGAGAAAAAAUUUCUAUACUUUCAUAUUUAUAAAAGGUAAUAUUGUUGUAAGCGCAGA